rnacentral:rRNA from 1 species
UACGUAGGGGGCUAGCGUUGUCCGGAAUCAUUGGGCGUAAAGCGCGUGUAGGCGGUCCGGUAAGUCCGCUGUGAAAGUCGGGGGCUCAACCCUCGGAUGCCGGUGGAUACUGUCGGGCUUGAGUACGGAAGAGGCGAGUGGAAUUCCUGGUGUAGCGGUGAAAUGCGCAGAUAUCAGGAGGAACACCAAUUGCGAAGGCAGCUCGCUGGGACGUUACUGACGCUGAGGAGCGAAAGCGUGGGGAGCGAAUGGG